rnacentral:rRNA from 1 species
AUUGAACGCUGGCGGCAGGCCUAACACAUGCAAGUCGAGCGGAUGAAGGGAGCUUGCUCCUGGAUUCAGCGGCGGACGGGUGAGUAAUGCCUAGGAAUCUGCCUGGUAGUGGGGGAUAACGUCCGGAAACGGGCGCUAAUACCGCAUACGUCCUGAUGGAGCAAGUGGGGGAUCUUCGGACCUCUCGCUCUCAGAUGAGCCUAGGUCGGAUUAGCUAGUUGGUGGGGUAAAGGCCUACCAAGGCGACGAUCCGUAACUGGUCUGAGAGGAUGAUAAGUCACACUGGAACUGAGACACGGUCAAGACGACUAAGGGAGGCAGCAGUGGGGAAUAUUGGACAAUAGGCGAAAGCAUGAUACAGCCAUGCCGCGUGUGUGAAGAAGGUCUUCGGAUUGUAAAGCACUUUAAGUGGGGAGGAAGGGCAGUAAGUUAAUACCUUGCUGUAUUGACGUUACCAACAGAAUAAGCACCGGCUAACUUCGUG